AACGCAAAUUGCGCUCGAGGCUUCGGCCGAGAGCAUGUCUGCCUCAGCGUCGGGUUAACCCUCAUGCCUCAUAAUAUUUGCAAAAAUAUUAUGGCGCGUGGACCUGGCCUUCUCAGCAACUAAUAUUUAUUUAUUGAUUGCUGGGUUGGCUGAAGCGCAGAGAUCUGUGCAUGGACCCGUUUAUGGGCCUCAACUGGGUAGGCAAAUUAUUUGCUGAUGCUUUAGUUGCUGGCUUGGGACUGUGCGUGCGGAUCCAAAGCAGGAAAAUAAUAUUAUUAUUUUCUAAUUUAUUAUCUCGACCUGAGCUCAGGCAAAGGCACCCGCUGAACUUAA
rnacentral:misc_RNA from 1 species